AACCAUAGAAACCUGCGGAGUACCUGCGGAAGGAUCAUUAUUGGAUUUUUUUGCAAAUUUUAUUUGCGAAGAUACAAACAACUUUUUUAACCCCCAAAAAGGAGAAGAUUUUCUUCUCUGAAACAGAAGUUAACGUGGUUGCCUGAUUUUCAAAAAUGGUUUGGAACAAAGUGGAAAUUGAAAAAACAACUUUCAACAACGGAUCU
rnacentral:misc_RNA from 1 species